UACGGAAGGUGCUAGCGUUGUUCGGAAUCACUGGGCGUAAAGCGCGCGUAGGCGGCUUUGUAAGUUAGAGGUGAAAGCCCGGGGCUCAACCCCGGAAUUGCCUUUAAGACUGCAUCGCUUGAAUCCGGGAGAGGUGAGUGGAAUUCCGAGUGUAGAGGUGAAAUUCGUAGAUAUUCGGAAGAACACCAGUGGCGAAGGCGGCUCACUGGACCGGCAUUGACGCUGAGGUGCGAAAGCGUGGGGAGCAAACAGG
rnacentral:rRNA from 1 species